rnacentral:tRNA from 4 species
GCGGGUGUAGUUCAGUGGUAGAACGUCAGCUUCCCAAGCUGAAUGUCGCCGGUUCGAGUCCGGUCACCCGCU